GGAAAGUUGACGGGGCCCGGCACAAGCGGUGGAGUAUGUGGUUAAUUCGAUGCAACGCGAAGAACCUUACCUGGUCUUGACAUCCCGGAGACCCUUAGGAAACUAGGGGUGCUUCCAUCUGGAAGAAUCUGGAGACAGGUGCUGCAUGGCUGUCGUCAGCUCGUGUCGUGAGAUGUUGGGUUAAGUCCCGCAACGAGCGCAACCCUUGCCUUUAGUUGCCAGCAGUUCGGCUGGGCACUCUAAAGGGACUGCCGGUGUUAAACCGGAGGAAGGUGGGGAUGACGUCAAGUCCUCAUGGCCUUUAUGACCAGGGCUACACACGUACUACAAUGGCCGAUACAAAGGGCAGCGACACUGCGAGGUGAAGCCAAUCCCGUAAAAUCGGUCUCAGUCCGGAUUGGAGUCUGCAACUCGACUCCAUGAAGUUGGAAUCGCUAGUAAUCGUGGAUCAGCAUGCCACGGUGAAUACGUUCCCGGGCCUU
rnacentral:rRNA from 1 species